ensembl:Y_RNA Y_RNA Y RNA
GGCUGGUCCUAGCGCAGUAGUGUUUACUACUAAAUGAUGACAACCGUUACAAAUUUCUUUUUUCCUUCUCUACUCCCACUGCUUUACUUGAUUAGCCUUUU